GCGCAAAUGGUUUAGUGGUAAAAUCCAUCGUUGCCAUGUGUUGAAUAAUAUCAACAGUUGAUUCGAUGGGCCCCCGGUUCGAUUCCGGGUUUGCGCA
rnacentral:tRNA from 1 species